GGAGUCGGGCUGUAGCGCAGCGGGUUAAGCGCAGGUGGCACAAAGCACAAAGACCGGCAUAAGGAUCCCGGUUCGAUCCCCGGCUCCCCACCUGCAGGGGAUUGCCUCACAGGCGGUGAAGCAGGUCUGCAGGUGUCUAUCUUUCUCUCCUCCUCUCUUUCUUCCCCUCCUCUCUCCAUUUCUCUCUGUCCUAUCCAACAACGACAACAACAAUAAUAACUACAACAAUAAAACAACAAGGGCAACAAAAGGGAAUAAAUAAAUAAAAAUUAAAUUAAAUUUAAAAAAA